UACGUAGGGCGCAAGCGUUGUCCGGAAUUAUUGGGCGUAAAGAGCUCGUAGGCGGUUCCGUAAGUCGUGAAGUCAAAUCUCUGGGCUCAACCCAGAAUCGCUUCCGAUACUGCGGUGACUGGAGUCCGGUAGGGGAGUGUGGAAUUCCUGGUGUAGCGGUGGAAUGCGCAGAUAUCAGGAAGAACACCAACGGCGAAGGCAGCUCGCUAGGACGGUACUGACGCUGAGACGCGAAAGCGUGGGGAGCGAACAGG
rnacentral:rRNA from 1 species